CAAUUUAUUGAAAGGCUUUGCUACUUCAACAAAAAACAAUCGGUUUGCCCAAAAAAAUUUAAAAGAAAAACGCAAAGCCGGUCUUCUCUCCACCCUAAAAAAAAUCGUCUACUCUUGUCUCAACCCAUGGCUCGCUAGCUCGCUCCAAGAAACAAGGAUGAAAAACUCGUUGGAAAGCUGUGAACCGGAGAACAACAGUAAUGCUGGCCGAAGUGAUACUUUGGUGACUAUUUGGGCUCUAUUCUUCUAAUUCUUAAUGUGUCGUCAUGCAUGGUGUGAUAUUUCCCCUCUUUCCCAAAUUGAAAUGGUUCAACCGGCAAUCUGCAGGUAUCUACAGUUUACUGUUGAUGAUAUUACAAAGGCAAGGAAGUUAGUGUGCCGCACGCUGGAUGAUGAUAAUAGGUUUACAAAGUUCAUCGUCAGAAUAUUAAUGAGCCAGCUUGCACUUUGUCAAGAGGAUGCUGGUGGUGAAGAUGUCGUUGGGACAUCGCCGUGAGGAGAUGUAUUUGGAGAUGGGGAUCCAUUUAAUGGAUGGAGAUUUUUGAAGAAGACAAGUAAAAGAGACGUUUGAUGCCUUCAAUUUUGAGCGUCUUGUCUGAUUUAAGUGUAUUUCUUCUAAUGAAAUAUCGCAAGUUUCAACUCCAA